rnacentral:rRNA from 1 species
AAGGUUUCCGUAGGUGAACCUGCGGAAGGAUCAUUAAAAAAAUACGCCUGGGGAAGUUGUGAAAACAAUGAAUCCAGUGCUGUAUACAACCACCUGUUUACCUUUACCUGUUUCUUCCGUGGAAUUACGGGUGCUCUUUCUGCUUGCAGCUUAGAGUUACCUUCCACGGGUGCAUUUUAAAAAUUGUCUUGUAUUAUUGUCUGAAAAAAAUUAAAAGUUAAAACUUUCAACAACGGAUCUCUAGGUUCUCGCAUCGAUGAAGAACGCAGCGAAAUGCGAUAAGUAGUGUGAAUUGCAGAUUUCAGUGAAUCAUCGAAUCUUUGAACGCACAUUGCGCCCUUUGGUAUUCCGAAGGGCAUGCCUGUCUGAGCGUCAAUAAAUCAAUCAAACCUNGGUUUGGUAUUGGGAGAAGUGGCUUUGCCUCUCUCCUUUAAGCUAUUGGCGACGCUAUUUCAGCUUGUAAGAUGUAGUAAGUAAUUUCUCGUCAAAGCAACUGGAUGGAUGUCUGCCAAAUGAACGAUUUAUUUAACAGCUUGACCUCAGAUCAGGUAGGGAUACCCCCUGA